rnacentral:misc_RNA from 1 species
GAUGAAGAACGUAGCGAAAUGCGAUAAGUAGUGUGAAUUGCAGAAUUCAGUGAAUCAUCGAAUCUUUGAACGCACAUUGCGCCCUUUGGUAUUCCUUAGGGCAUGCCUGUUCGAGCGUCAUUUAAACCCUUCAAGCUCAGCUUGGUGUUGGGUGACUGUCCGCCGCCCCCGGGCGCGGACUCGCCCCAAAUUCAUUGGCGGCCGGUACGUAGGCUUCGAGCGCAGCAGAAACGCGAACUCGGGCCCGCGGUGUCGGCUCCCAGAAGCCAUCUCUUUUAUUUUGACCUCGGUUCAGGUAGGGAUACCCGCUGAACUUAAGCAUAUCAAUAAGCGGAGGA